rnacentral:Y_RNA from 1 species
GGCUGGUCUGAAGGUAGUGAGUUAUCUCAAUUGAUUGCUCACUGUGAGUGUUUAAUUCCUUGUUCUACUCUUUCUCCUCUUCUCACUACUGUACUUCACUAAAAA